UACGAAGGGGGCUAGCGUUGUUCGGAAUCACUGGGCGUAAAGGGCGCGUAGGCGGCCGAUCAAGUCGGGGGUGAAAGCCCCCGGCUCAACUGGGGAGGGUCACGCGAUACUGUUCGACUCGAAGGCAGGAGAGGGUAGUGGAAUUCCCGGUGUAGUGGUGAAAUGCGUAGAUAUCGGGAGGAACACCAGUGGCGAAGGCGGCGAUCUGGGCAGAUACUGACGCUGAGGUGCGAAAGCGUGGGGAGCAAACAGG
rnacentral:rRNA from 1 species